GUCUACAGCCAUAUCAACCUGAAUGUGCCCUGUCUCAUCUGAUCUCAGAAGCUAAGCAGAAAUGGGCCUGGUUAGGACUUGGGUGGGAGAACACCUGGGCAAUACCAGGUGCGGUAAGCU
rnacentral:rRNA from 1 species